CAACUUUAUUUGCUUUUUAACAUGGCCAUUCUGAUAUUUUGCUGAGACCAACAAGAAAAAAAUUUAAGAAUUUAUCUCUUUUAACAAAUAUUUUUCUUUUUUUUUUUUUAAAGAUUGGCACUUGGGCUAACAACUGUUGCCAAUCUUUUUUUUUUCUGCUUUAUCUCCCCAACCCCCCCCCCCCCCAACUAAGAGAUACACAGUUGUAUCUCUUAGUUGCAGGUCCUUCUAGUUGUGGGAUGUGGGACGCCGCCUCAAUGUGGCCUGAUGAGCGGUGCCAUGUCCGCGCCCAGGAUCCGAACCCUGGGCCGCCGCAGCGGAGCGCGUGAAUUUAAACCACUUGGCCAAGGAGCCGGCCCCGAUUUUUCUUCUUGAAUGAAUGAAGUCAUCAACCCCUCAAAUAUUUGAAGCAUGCCCCCAAAUCCGAUCAGGUUUAACUGUAGGCAAAGAAUGUAAAGUGCUGAAACUUUCCCUUCUUUUUAGCAAACACUACAACAAACCAGGUUAAUCUCAUUAGGGCUUAUUAAAGGAGAUCUCGGAGGGAGAGAUUUCCUCACUCCCUCAGGUGGGAUGGACGGCCAGACACUGUGAAACUCCAGACUAGCAUUCUCUGCCCGGGUGGUAUACCCCAAGUUCACUUAACCUUCAGUUUUCCAUAAGGAGUUGGGUUGGCCAAAUUCUUUGUUCUCAAGAUGCCGUGUCCCCAGCAUUUAGAUACCAAAGGGAUUCGAGGAUCUCUCUCUCAGCUUAAGUAAACACUAGGAGUCAGAUCAAUGUUUCCUGUCUAUGGAGAAUUAAGGAAGCAGAAUUUUGAGCUGAGGACCAAACCUUAGAGACUGGAGAUUGAAGGAUCCUGUGGCCCUGAGGCCCUGGCUGGACUCCCCCUAAUCCCAUCCAUCAAGACUUUGACAAGCAUCAGGACCUGGAAUCUGAGAAAUGGGAUCAAAGCAAGUUGGAGAAACCCCUGCAUCUGGAGACUCUUUAGCUGGCACACCUCGUACUCCCAAUACCAUCUUUGAUUUCCCACCUCCUCCAUUAGACCAAGUGCAGGAGGAGCAAUGGGAAGUAGAAG
rnacentral:lncRNA from 1 species